rnacentral:lncRNA from 1 species
AUGCCAUGUUUAUGACACCAGCCUCUGUUUCCAUGGGGAUGAUUGUAUCAAUGUAAUUCCAGCAUUAUGACUUCUGGGUACAUUUGAGAAGAUGGGUGAAAGCAACGAAAAAUUUUCAAGUGUACACAUCUAUUGUGAUCCUGAUAACUCACAGGAAUGAUACUGCUGAAAAUAGAGACUAGGAAUCAGACAGAUGUCCACUAAAGCCUGAGGUCAUUUUUUUCUGAUGGCUAAAAAGGAUGUUUAACCCCUAAGUCCUUCCUUCUUGAAAUCUUUGGUCUGCUUUAUUUUAAAUGUUUUGUUUUAGUUUUUAAUAUGACAUAAUUUGCAUUAGGCAUCUGUAAGGCUUUUAUCUGCUCAUUGCCUAAAUCUUUCAUCUGUAUGGGGACUGCAUUAAGCUCAUCCUGAAUAAUGGCCUCUAUUAUUUAAAUCCAUUAUUCAAAUUCCAUUUUUCUAAGAAGCUAUCACUCCUAUUCCAUCUGCAAAUAUGAAAACUUAAAUGUAAAGGUCCCUCUUCAAAUUUUCCACAGGAAAAAAACAUGUCAUCCAUUUAAAUGCAUGCUUCAGGCACUGCACAUUCUGUAAGAAGGCGAUUUUAAACAACCUAUUUCUAUUUAAUGUCAAAAUUGAGAUUUUAAAAAAUUUUGCUGAUUACAAAAGUAAUUCAUAUUUACUGUGAAAAAGAAAAUCAAACACUGAAGAAUUUGAAGUAGAAAGUAGCUACCCAAAAUUCUAUCCAAAAUUGCUAUAACCCACAGAAACAUUGUUUUAUCUCUAUAUUUUUCUAAAUGUUGAAAUAUUAAAAUCAUGACUAUUUACACAAAUUGAAUCAUAUGAUUCUGUGGCAGACAAUUUUCCAAAGAUGGUCACAACAAUAUCCCUCAUCCUGCAUGCUUUUCUGCAAGUUCCUUGCCACUCUCCCAUCAAGAAAUGUUAUUUCGCCACCUCCCUGAAUCUCAGCAGGACUUUGGAUUGCUUCAAUCAAUAGAAUAGAGCUGAUACAACGUUAUACUAAUUCUGUGUAUAGCCUUUAACUGGCCUGGCAACUUCCACUUCCUGCUUUUCGGAAGGUAGACAUGUUAAGAAGUAGGACUACCCUGAGACCACCAUGCUAAGAACUGGAAGAUGAGAUACCUUGUUGAGAAGUAAAGAAAUCAAAGCGCACCAAGGCACUAGACAUGCUUUUCAAACGCAGAUUUGUUUGUUGUUUGGUUGGUUUGUUGCUUGACUCUACUCUUACCUACAUACAUAUCAACACACACAACAUGUAAGACUUGUAAGUGAAGAAGCCAUCUUGGAAGUAGAUCCUUCUCUCCCAGCCGACCUGGCUGACUAUAACACAAACCACCCAACCAAGCCCUUCUUGAGUGCUGAUCUAUUAAACCAGAAGCAGAAAAAAAGAGUUACUUUAAGCCCUUAAGUUCUGGCAUUGUUUGUACCAUUAACAUUUAAAUAACCAAAACACAUGGUUGGAGCAUUUUUUAUUUUAAAACAAAUUAAAUCCAUCUCACCUAUUUUAGUAGCUCUCAUAGUAUUCUAUCAUAGGCAUUUACCCUAUGUUAACUCAGCUUCAAUAGAUGUACUUUUAGACUAUUUUCCAUUUUUAUUAUGCUGUAGCAAAUAUUUGUUUACAUUUAUCUGUAUCUAUCUGAUUGUUUUCAAAAAUAAAUUCUUCUAAGUCAUAUUACUGGGCCAUAUGGGAAUUCAAAUAUUACAUUUUGAUAUCUUCAGCCUGAUUAUAUUUCAGAAAUGUACAAAUUUAUUCUCACACCAGGAGCAUGUAAGAGUUUCUCUCUCCCACACUUUCAUCAUCACUGGAUUUUAUCAAUCUUUAUAAUUUUAGCCAAUCUGCUGACAUAUACAUAGUUUCAUUUUUAUUGUUCACUUCUUAUAUUUGUCAUCCUAAAACCAUGUGUGGACAGAAAGAGUCCAUAAGACCUAAAUGUCCUGGAAGGUGAAGUCAAACCAUUGAGAAAAUUACCUGGAGAGUCUUCCAGAGGCUGAGACUUCACCCUAUUGGUUUUUACGCUUCUCAGAGCCAGGAGCAUCCCAGAUGCAGAGUCCAGAACUGGGAGGAUGUGGUACUGAGGGAGCCCAGAGCGGAUGGAAUAACAAGGAAGGGAUUUGCCUUCCUGCUUGAAGCAUCUAACGAAUCUGACAAAGUAUAUUAAAGAAAGUGUCUCAAGACACUGGACAUCAGGUAAAGAUGAAUAGGGAUCCCUGAGAGAUGGGAUACAAAUUAGACGAGCCCUACCUUUGAGGUGCUCUCCUAGCUAUGGCCUGGAGAGCAUUUCCAGACACAGCACACGGACAGGCAACCCAGGAGGAGCACAAGAGUCUCCCUAAGCUGAACUAGGAUGGGGCAUGGGGGACCCUGGGGCUGAGGCUGCUAGAAUUCACAAGGCAAGAUACUGAAGAGAAGAGAUCUGCAAAGAAAUAGAACUCCAGAGAUCUACAAAAGUUUCAAUACUCUUCAGCGUGUGCAUGUGAGAAAACUAUCAAAAGGAUUAGAGGGAAAAAUCCCUACACGGGGUGGGAAUAGUGCCUGUUCAUACCAUCUGGAGUGGAAAAUCUUCAUAAUUACAGGGAUUGGUAGACUAUUCAAGAGUCUUGCCUCACAGUGGAGAAAAUUUUACCCUAGACUAAAUGUUGCUCUGCUCUCUCCUUACAAAGCUUAAAGGAAGACCCAAUAGGAUAAAAUUGUUUUCAAGUCACUUAACUGCAUCCUAGAAUGAACUCAAGUAUAUUUAUAGGAAUACAAUAAUGUACAGCCCUCAACAAGAGAAAUUUCACGAAGCUUGGCACACAUUCAAGAAUAACGAGGCAUGCAAAGAAGUAGGACAAAUGCAACCAUAAUACAGAGAAAAGCCAAUCAAACAGACCCAGUAAUGACACUGAUGAUGGAGUUAGUAGACAAGGCCAUUAAAACAGUCAUUAUAACUGCGUUCCAUAUGUUUGAGAAACUUGAACGUGAUAAGUAGAGACAUGGAAGAUAAUUUUGUUGCCUGGGCUUACCCUUCAGACUCUGCUUCUUGAACAGUGUCAGUGGCUGUAAUCUCAGUUCAGAUCUUUCAUCUUUAACUGAGCUGCUUUGAGUCUUCUGCAUAGGUGUGGUUUGAGAGUCGGUCAGACUGGGUACACAGAAUGGCCCCCACCACCGCAAUUCUCUUCAGUGUUCAUAGUAGUCCAGCUUCAAUUUUCUGGUUCCCCAGGCCAGAAAGAAGGGAUGCUUGUUUGUCCACAUGCACCCCAACAGCUGCUGUGUGCACUAUAUGGAGCCACAGAGAUGGGACCUUUCCUGGGCAACUUCUCAUCUCCCCUGUCCAAGUACACUGGAACCAACUGGAAGAGCACUAAAUUGUCAAAGCUGGAACAUUUUGAGCAACAAAAUAAAUAAAGUAGUAUAGAGUGAUA